rnacentral:rRNA from 1 species
UACGUAGGGAGCAAGCGUUAUCCGGAUUUAUUGGGCGUAAAGGGAACGCAGGCGGUCUUUUAAGUCUGAUGUGAAAGCCUUUGGCUUAACCGGAGUAGUGCAUUGGAAACUGGGAGACUUGAGUGCAGAAGAGGAGAGUGGAACUCCAUGUGUAGCGGUGAAAUGCGUAGAUAUAUGGAAGAACACCAGUGGCGAAAGCGGCUCUCUGGUCUGUAACUGACGCUGAGGUUCGAAAGCGUGGGUAGCAAACAGG